ensembl:misc_RNA Metazoa_SRP Metazoan signal recognition particle RNA
GCCGGGCGCGGUGGCGCACGCCUGUAGUCCCAGCUACUCGGGAGGCUGAGGCAGGAGGAUCGCUUGAGUCCAGGAGUUCUGGGCUGUAGUGAGCUAUGCCGAUCGGGUGUCCGCACUAAGUUCGGCAUCAAUAUGGUGACCUCCCGGGAGCGGGGGACCACCAGGUUGCCUAAGGAGGGGUGAACCGGCCCAGGUCGGAAACGGAGCAGGUCAAAACUCCCGUGCUGAUCAGUAGUGGGAUCGCGCCUGUGAAUAGCCACUGCACUCCAGCCUGGGCAACAUAGCGAGACCCCGUCUCUU